UCUGGAAACGGAGAGUAAUACCGUAUGAGCCCUUCGGGGGAAAGAUUUAUCGCCAAAGGAUUAGCCCGCGUUAGAUUAGGUAGUUGGUGGGGUAAUGGCCUACCAAGCCUACGAUCUAUAGCUGGUUUUAGAGGAUGAUCAGCAACACUGGGACUGAGACACGGCCCAGACUCCUACGGGAGGCAGCAGUGGGGAAUCUUGGACAAUGGGGGCAACCCUGAUCCAGCCAUGCCGCGUGAGUGAUGAAGGCCUUAGGGUCGUAAAGCUCUUUCGCCUGUGAAGAUAAUGACGGUAGCAGGUAAAGAAACCCCGGCUAACUCCGUGCCAGCAGCCGCGGUAAUACGGAGGGGGUUAGCGUUGUUCGGAAUUACUGGGCGUAAAGCGCACGUAGGCGGACCAGAAAGUUGGGGGUGAAAUCCCGGGGCUCAACCCCGGAACUGCCUCCAAAACUAUUGGUCUAGAGUUCGAGAGAGGUGAGUGGAAUUCCAAGUGUAGAGGUGAAAUUCGUAGAUAUUUGGAGGAACACCAGUGGCGAAGGCGGCUCACUGGCUCGAUACUGACGCUGAGGUGCGAAAAGUGUGGGGGAGCAAACAGGAUUAGAUACCCUGGUAGUCCACACCGUAAACGAUGAAUGCCAGUCGUCGGGUAGCAUGCUUUCSGUGACCACCUAACGGAUUAAGCAUUCCGCCUGGGGAGUACG
rnacentral:rRNA from 1 species